ACGGGUGAGUAACACGUGGGUAAUUUUCCUUAGAGUGGGGGAUAACUAGUCGAAAGAUUAGCUAAUACCGCAUAAGACCACAAGAUCUGCGGAUCAAGGGGUAAAAGUUUUUCGCUCUAAGAUAAGCCCGCGCAAGAUUAGCUAGUUGGUGAGGUAACGGCUCACCAAGGCGACGAUCUUUAGCUGGUCUGAGAGGAUGAUCAGCCACACUGGAACUGAGACACGGUCCAGACUCCUACGGGAGGCAGCAGUAGGGAAUAUUGCACAAUGGAGGAAACUCUGAUGCAGCGACGCCGCGUGAGUGAUGAAGGACUUCGGUUCGUAAAGCUCUGUCGUAUGGGAAUAACAAAAUGAAGGUACCAUGCAAGAAAGGAUCGGCUAACUUCGUGCUAGCAGCCGCGGUAAUAC
rnacentral:rRNA from 1 species